rnacentral:rRNA from 1 species
CUUGCUCUUUGGCGUCGAGUGGCGGACGGGUGAGUAACGCGUGGGAAUCUACCCAGUAGUGGGGGAUAGCCCAGAGAAAUUUGGAUUAAUACCGCAUACGAUCUACGGAUGAAAGGUGGCCUCUCCUUGGAAGCUAUCGCUAUUGGAUGAGCCCGCGUUAGAUUAGCUAGUUGGUGGGGUAAGAGCCUACCAAGGCAACGAUCUAUAGCUGGUCUGAGAGGACGACCAGCCACAUCGGGACUGAGACACGGCCCGGACUCCUACGGGAGGCAGCAGUGGGGAAUAUUGGACAAUGGGCGCAAGCCUGAUCCAGCAAUGCCGCGUGUGUGAAGAAGGCCCGAGGGUUGUAAAGCACUUUCAAUUGUGAAGAAGAGAUUAAGAUUAAUACUCUUGAUCUUUGACGUUAACUUUAGAAGAAGCACCGGCUAACUCUGUGCCAGCAGCCGCGGUAAUACAGAGGGUGCGAGCGUUAAUCGGAAUUACUGGGCG